rnacentral:rRNA from 1 species
AUUGAACGCUGGCGGCAGGCCUAACACAUGCAAGUCGAACGAGUGGCGGACGGGUGAGUAAUGUCUGGGAAACUGCCUGAUGGAGGGGGAUAACUACUGGAAACGGUAGCUAAUACCGCAUACCAUCAGAUGUGCCCAGAUGGGAUUGGCUUGUUGGUGGGGUAACGGCUCACCAAGGCGACGAUCCCUAGCUGGUCUGAGAGGAUGACCAGCCACACUGGAACGAGGAAACGGUCCGGACUCCUACGGGAGGCAGAAGGGGGGAAUAUUGCACAAGGGGCGCAAGCCUGAUGCAGCCAUGCCGCGUGUAUGAAGAAGGCCUUCGGGUUGUAAAGUACGUUCAGCGGGGAGGCGUUACCCGAAGAAGAAGCACCGGCUAACUCCGUGCCAGCAGCCGCGGUAAUUC